GGAAGUAAAAGUCGCAACAAGGUUUCCGUAGGUGAACCUGCGGAAGGAUCAUUAGUGAAUAUUAGGGCGUCUACUUCGGUAGGGCCUGACCUCCACUUUCUAACUCUGUGCACUUAUUUGGCGGAAAAGGGAAUUAGUAAUCUGUCUAAUGACGAUUACGACUUCUUACUUUCUGCGGCUUACUUUAAACACUAGUCAAAGUAUGUAACGAAAUAUCCAAACAAAUAAAAACUUUCAACAACGGAUCUCUUGGCUCUC
rnacentral:misc_RNA from 1 species